rnacentral:rRNA from 1 species
GACGGAGGGUGCUAGCGUUGUUCGGAAUGACUGGGCGUAAAGGGCGCGUAGGCGGCCGACCCAGUCGGGUGUGAAAGCCCGGGGCUCAACCUCGGAACGGCACCCGAUACUGGUUGGCUGGAGACCGAGAGAGGUGAGUGGAAUACCCAGUGUAGAGGUGAAAUGCGUAGAUAUCUGGAGGAACACCGGUGGCGAAGGCGGCAUCCUGGACCGACACUGACGCUGAGGCGCGAAAGCUAGGGGAGCAAACGGG